rnacentral:lncRNA from 1 species
UCAAAUUUGGAUAUCGAAAAUGUUCUAACUCAACUCAUAUUACAAUAUAUAAUAAAUAUUAAGGUUAUGUUUGGUUGGGGGAUAAAGGUGGAAUAAAAAAUUUAUUUCAUCUUUAUCCUUCAAAUACAAAUAAAAAAUGGUGGGAACACUAAUUCUCUCCUUAACGGGUUAUUGCAGAAUAGCCCGUUAAGGAGUGGAA